rnacentral:sRNA from 1 species
UUCUUCUUUCUUUGUGAUCAGAAUAUUCUGGACUUUUCCCUAUAUAUAGUUACCCUAGGUUUGAUAAUACUUGUAACGGGUCUACAAACGUAAUUUAUCUCACCACAGACUCAAACUCGAUCUGGUAGCACCAUAAGAGCACUCCUCUAAUUUGUUCAUAACCAAUUUAGUCGAGUUAAUGGACUAAUAUAAAAUAAAGUUUCUCUUACAACUACUAGUUAGAGAUGUUUUCCUAAUAUUUAGUCUAAUAUUAAGACAAGGAUUUAGUAAAUCUAAGGUGAAUAUACAUACAUAUUGAAUGUGGUUGGUGGAAGUGACACAUAACCAUGCAAUAUAAGUAAGAAAAAUGCGUGUGGGUAAUGGAUGAUUUGUGAAAGUGUGUGGGUCUCCCACGUCUUCCAAGUCGCAGCCCACUUGGAAUUUUAUACAAAUUUGAAUCUCACGAAACACAAGUCAGCAUUAUACGACUCUUUCCACCUUCUCUUCCUUCUUUAUUUUCUC